CGGGUUGUAAACUCCUUUUCGGGGGGAAGAUACAGACGGUACCCCCGGAAUAAGCCCCGGCUAACUCCGUGCCAGCAGCCGCGGUAAUACGGAGGGGGCAAGCGUUGUCCGGACUUACUGGGCGUAAAGGGUGCGUAGGCGGUCUUGUGCGUCGGUGCUGAAAGCGCCCGGCUUAACCGGGCGAGGCGUGCCGAUACGAUAAGACUUGAGGGGCAGCGAGGGUGGCGGAACUCCUGGUGUAGUGGUGAAAUGCGUAGAGAUCAGGAAGAACACCCGUGGCGCAAGCGGCCACCUGGCUGCCAACUGACGCUGAGGCACGAGAGCGUGGGGAGCGAACCGGAUUAGAUACCCGGGUAGUCCACGCCGUAAACGAUGUCGACUCGGUGUGCGGGGCGCGAAAGCGCGCUGCGUGCCUAAGCUCACGCGAGAAGUCGACCGCCUGGGGACUACGAGCGCAAGCUUAAAACUCAAAGGAAUUGACGGGGGCCCGCACAAGCAGCGGAGCGUGUGGUUUAAUUCGAAGCAACGCGAAGAACCUUACCAGGUCUUGACAUCCUCUGACACUCCUAGGGAUAGGACGUUCCCCUUCGGGGGACAGAGUGACAGGUGGUGCAUGGUUGUCGUCAGCUCGUGUCGUGAGAUGUUGGGUUAAGUCCCGCAACGAGCGCAACCCUUGUCUUCUGUUGCCAUCGGGUCAAG
rnacentral:rRNA from 1 species